rnacentral:rRNA from 1 species
GUAGGUGGCAAGCGUUGUCCGGAAUUAUUGGGCGUAAAGCGCGCGCAGGUGGGUUCUUUAAGUCUGAUGUGAAAGCCCCCGGGCUCAACCGGGGAGGGUCAUUGGAAACUGGGGAACUUGAGUGCAGGAGAGGAAAGUGGAAUUCCACGUGUAGCGGUGAAAUGCGUAGAUAUGUGGAGGAACACCAGUGGCGAAGGCGACUUUCUGGCCUGUAACUGACACUGAGGCGCGAAAGCGUGGGGAGCAAACAGGAUUAGAUACCCUGGUAGUCCACGCCGUAAACGAUGAGUGCUAAGUGUUGGGGGGGUUUCCGCCCCUCAGUGCUGCAGCUAACGCAUUAAGCACUCCGCCUGGGGAGUACGGUCGCAAGACUG